GGAGGACCGAACCGACUACCUUUGAAAAGUUAGCGGAUGACCUGUGGAUCGGAGUGAAAGGCUAAUCAAGCUCGGAGAUAGCUGGUUCUCCUCGAAAGCUAUUGAGGUAGCGCCUCGCGUCUAACUCAGGGGGGUAGAGCACUGUUACGGCUAGGGGGGACAUAAGUCCUUACCAAACCGUUGCAAACUCCGAAUACCCUGAAGUUCAAUCGCGGGAGACACACGGUGGGAGCUAAAUUUCAUCGUGAAGAGGGAAACAACCCAGACCGCCAGCUAAGGUCCCUAAAAUUGGCUAAGUGGGAAACGAAGUGGGAAGGCUAUAACAGUCAGGAUGUUGGCUUAGAAGCAGCCAUCCUUUAAAGAAAGCGUAAUAGCUCACUGAUCGAGUCGUCCUGCGCGGAAGAUGUAACGGGGCUAAGCCAGUUACCGAAGCUGCGGAUGUGCAAUUUAUUGCACGUGGUAGGAGAGCGUUCUGUAAGCCUGUGAAGGUGGCGGUGUAAACCCUGCUGGAGGUAUCAGAAGUGCGAAUGCUGACAUGAGUAGCGUUAAAGGGGGUGAAAAGCCCCCUCGCCGUAAGCGCAAGGUUUUCUACGCAACGUUCAUCGGCGUAGAGUGAGUCGGCCCCUAAGGCGAGGCAGAGAUGCGUAGCUGAUGGGAAACAGGUCAAUAUUCCUGUACCGAUGUGUAGUGCGAUGUGGGGACGGAGAAGGUUAGCUCAGCCAACUGUUGGAUAUGUUGGUUCAAGCCUGUAGUCGUGCCUGGUAGGUAAAUCCGCCGGGCUUAGAUGAGGGGUGAUAACGAGUCUGCUUGCAGACGAAGUGAGUGAUACCCUGCUUCCAGGAAAAGCCACUAAGCUUCAGCUACACACGACCGUACCGCAAACCGACACUGGUGCGCGAGAUGAGUAUUCUAAGGCGCUUGAGAGAACUCAGGAGAAGGAACUCGGCAAAUUGACACCGUAACUUCGGAAGAAGGUGUGCCUUUAGUAGGUGAAGGGAUUUACUCCUGGAGCCCAAUGAGGUUGCAAAAAAUCGGUGGCUGCGACUGUUUAUUAAAAACACAGCACUCUGCUAAGACGAAAGUCGACGUAUAGGGUGUGACGCCUGCCCGGUGCUGGAAGAUUAAAUGAUGGGGUGCAAGCUCUUGAUUGAAGUCCCAGUAAACGGCGGCCGUAACGAUAACGGUCCUAAGGUAGCG
rnacentral:rRNA from 1 species